rnacentral:lncRNA from 1 species
CUGCCCUGUGGCACAUGGAGUUCCCAGGUCCAGGGAUCAGAUCCGAGCCACAGUUGUGACCUUUGCUGCAGCUGCAGCAGCACAGGAUCCUUGGGUCCUUUAACCCACUCUGCCAGGCUGGGGAUGGAACCUGUGUCUUGGUGCUGCAGAGACACCACUGAUCCCCUUGCGCCAUAGUGGGAUCUCGAGGAAAGCUUUUUAGGAGGAGAUGAUAGUUGAGCUGUGUCUUGAAGGAUACCUUGGUAAAGACUUAAAAGGAGUUAUCUCAUUGUGAAAAAGAGAUUAGAACUAGGCCAUAGAAAACACUUAAAAGCAGAAUCACUGGAGUAUAAGAAAACAGAGAAGGCAGAAAGAACCUGGCAUGGUGGAGAAUAUUCAGGUAGUUUGUGUUAUUUGUUGCCUAGGUGCCUUUAGAGGAAUUGGGAAAGGCUAGCCUGAUCAGGUGGAUAGAAGUUAAACCAUGAAAGGCCUUGCAUGUCACUUUUAUAUUGAUGCAAUUGAAAAAUCUUAAACCAAUGAGUAAUAUAAUCAGGUUUAUAUUUUAGAAAUUCACUUUAACAAGGGUAUUGGAGAACAGAUUAGAAAGUAUGAGACUGGUGACAGAAAUGCCUGCAGAAGCUAUUGUAGUAUCUAGGCAAGAAAUAAAAAGUACUUGAACCAAAGAAUUAAAAUGAUGGUGAAAUGAAGUAUAAAAAGAGAUUGUAUUUAUUUAUUAAGUAUUAGUAUGUAACUAUUACCAGAUAAGUAUUUAGCCCCUACUGUGUGUCAUGUAUUGUUCAAGAUACUGAGCAUAUAGGGGUGAACAAAAGAGCCACAGUUCCUACCCUGAUGGAGUAGUCUAGUGUGAGAAACACAGACUAAGUGUAAUAAUCAUACAGAUGACAACUGUGAUAAGUAAUAUAGCAGAAAAAUAUAGGAUGCUGUGAAAGCAUACACUGUAGGGACCUAACACUGAGACUGAAGUAAAGCCUUUGUAAGGAGGGACAGUUAAACCGAGACUUAGGAAUUAGCUAGGCCAAAAAGAAAGGGAAGAGCAUAUGUUAAUGUCCUACGCAGAAAGGACCAGAAAAUUCAAUGCCUAUAUGGCUAAAGCAGAGUAAGCAAGGAUGGAGAAAGUUGGAAAGUAAGAUUAAAGAGGUUUAGGAGGCUUUGUAUAUAGGGAGAAGAGAGAAAAGGGUAUGUAGCAGGACUCUUCAGUUUCUAGUGUGGGCAGCUGGGUGGCUGUUGGUAUCAUUUCCUGAGAUAGGAAAAAUAGAAUAGGUUUGAUGGAUUUUUAUAUGUGAAAUGUUGGUUUUUGUAUGCCUGUGAGCUAAGUACAUCCUCCAAUCCUCACUGUAGAGAUAAGUAGAUAUUAGGAUUGGAUUUUUUUUUUUUUUUUUUUUUUUUUUUUCUUGUCUUUUGUCCCCUUAGGGCCACACCUGCAGCAUAUGGAGGUUUCCAGGCUGGGGGUCUAAUUGGAGCUACAGCUGUCAGCCUACACCACAGCCACAGCAACGCCAGAUCCGAGCUAAGUCUGCGACCUAUACCACAGCUCACGGCAACGCUGGAUCCUUAACCCUUGAGCAUAGGCCAGGGAUCAAACCCACAACCUCAUGGUUCCUAGUCGGAUUCGUUUCCGCUGCACCACAACGGCAACUCCAGGAUUGGAUUUUUGAUUUGGAAGUCUGGAAUUUAGGGGAAGGUUUGUUUUGCUUUUUUUAGGGUUGUACCAGGUCAUAUGGAAAUUCCCAGGCCAGGGGUCAAAACAGAGCUGCAGCUGCCAGUCUAUGCCACAGCCACAGCAAUGCGGGAUCUGAGCUGCAUCCGCAACCUGCACCACAGCUCAAGGCAACACCAGAUCCUUAACCCACUGAGUGAGGCCAGGGAUCGAA